CUUUCAAAGUGUAUGAUUAAGUGGGUUUUAGUAUGUUCAGUAUGUUGUGAAUGUUUUGUGUGUUCACAUUCGUUCACAUACACUAAUGUUCCAUUUCCAUUAUCCAUUUCCAAAACUUUUCAUUAUCUCAAACAGAAGCUCUCUACCCCUGCCGUUUCCCAUCUUCCAACCCUGCCCCUCCCCAUCCCUGGUUCCUUUAUACUCUCUGGCUCUGUGAAUUUGCCUUUUCUUGAUACCUUGUAUAAGUGGAAUCAUAUGAUGUUUGUCCUUUUGUGUCUGUCUUAUUUAGCAUGGCGUUUUCAAGGUUCAUCCAUGUUGUGGCAAGCAGUAUUUCUUUUUGUGACUGAGUAAUAUUUCAUGGUAUGGAUAUACCAUAUUUGUUUAUCCAUUCAUCAGUUGGACAUUUAAAUUGUCCCACUAUUUUUGCAAUUAGAAGUAAUGCUUCUGUGAACAUUUGUGUACAAGUUCUUGUGAAAACACAAGUUUUAAGUUCUCUGGUAUAUACCUAGGCGUGGAACUGCUGGUUCAUACAACAACUCUAUGUUUAACUUUAACCAAAGUGUUUCUCCGUGGAGCUAUGCUGUUUUAUGUUCCCAUCAGUAAUUUAUGAGGGUUCCAGUUUUCUCACAUUCUUGCCAACACUUGUUCUUACCUUUUUGGUUGUAGCCAUCUGAGUGAAAAUGAUGGUGGCAUCUCAUAAUUUUGAUUUGCCUUUCUGUGAUGACUGAUAAUGUCAAGCACAUUUUUAACGUGUUAGUCAUGUGUAUCUUCCUUAAGGAAGUGUCUAUACUGAUCCUUUGCCAUCUUUUUAAUUGGGUAUUUGUCUUCUCAUCAUUGAGCUGUGAGUUCUUUAUAUAUUCUGGACACUAUACCCUUAUCUGAUAUGAUUUCCUCAUGUUUUCUCCCAUUCUAUGGGUUGCAACUCUACUUUCUUGAUACUGUCUUUUGAAAUAAGUUAAUUUAUAUUUUAAAAGUUAGUUGAUUUAAGGGGGGGAAAUAGGACUACUGUAUUCAGAUGUGGCAAAAAGAUGUGUGAAUUAACGUUUGGGAAAGUGUCUUCUGUGAAACCACAAGUGUUUGGGGAAAAAAGUGUGAACCUUAAGUGAGAAGUGAGUGAGUGAGUAGCGCUAUCCCUCCAUAGUGAUGUCAGCGGGCUCACUGCUAGAUGCACUGGGAUCAUUUGUUAGUAGAUAAUGAGAAGGCGAUGGCACCCCACUUCAGUACUCUGCCCUGGAAAAUCCCAUGGAUGGAGGAGCCUAGUAGGCUGCAGUCCAUGGGGUCGCUGAGAGUCAGACACGACUGAGUGACUUCACUUUCACUUCUCACUUCCAUGCAUUGGAGAAGGAAAUGGCAACCCACUCCAGUGUUCUUGCCUGGAGAAUCCCAGGGACGGGGGAGCUUGGUGGGCUGCCGUCUAUGGGAUCACACAGAGUCGGACACGACUGAAGUGACUUGGCAGUAGCAGUAGAUAAUGAGGAAGCUUCUAUUUUAUUUUUUAAAUCGGUGAUAGAUAGGGAUUUAUUAAUGUCUUUUCUGCAUCUUUUGAGAUGGAGCAUCAGGUUUUUCUCCUUUCAUUUUCUAAUGAUUAAGAAUUAAUGGUGGAGAAGGAAAUGGCAACCGACUCCAGUAUUCUUGCCUGGAAAAGUCCAUGGACAGAGGAGCCUGGCAGGCUGCAGUCCAUGGGGUCACAUGACUGAGCAUGUGUGCAUGAGGGUGGAGGGUGACAGGCUGGUAGCAAUAAACUGGUAGAACUAAAAAAAAAAAAAAAAGAAUGAAUGGGAUAGUAAGCCCUCCUAUGACUUCUGAAACAAACUUUUCCAGGCCUGGAGCUCUAUUUUGUCGACAGAAAUGAACCAUAGGGUCGACUUGACUUGGGGCCUUGCCAGGCAGGCAGGUGUGGGGAUCUCAGGAAGGGCAGACAUAACUGCAGGCUAUUGGUUUGAGCUCAGCUCAGACAGCUGGUCCCUGUUCCCUGCUUUGCUACGUAUGGGCACAUGCUUUUGGCCAAAUUCCUUAAAUUCUUAAAGCCAGUUUCCUGAGAAUGGGGGUAAAAACAUGCAUCACUCUCCCAACAGUGUGAAGCUGAAGUGAGGGGUGCACUGGGAGGUGAGUCGCAGCGCCACCCUUCCCAUCCGUUACGACAGAAACAUGUAACGAUGGAAAGUUCCCAGAUCACACAGUGUGGGGUGUUCUGCUGCUGCUCUUUGGAGGUUGAGUGGUUCUUUGAAAACUGAGUCCUGGACUAGUCAAUAUUUCUAUCUGAUCAUACACUUUUCAGAUUUACUUUCUAAGAAAAUUAUGUUGUUCAUCUGUAUUAGUGUGCAGUAUCCUUUUACAUUUCAUUUUAUUUACAUUUUAGUAUCCUUAGUAGUUUUCUUCAUUUUGUUGUUUUAAAUCAAUUUAUUGUUGACUGUGCUGAGUCUCUGUUGUUGAGCACGCCUGUCUCUAGUUGCCCCGCGCAGAAUUCUCACUGCCAGUGGUUUCUCCUGCUGUGGAGCACCAGCUCUAGGGCAGGUGAGCUCAGUAGUUGUGGAGCACGGGCUUAGUUGUCCUGUGGCAUGUGGAAUCUUCCUGGACCAGGGGUCACACCUGUGUCCCCUGCAGGUGGACUCCGAACCACUGGACCACCAGGGAAGUCCUUCACUAUGUUCUUAUUGCUCGUUUUUUUUUCCUUGAAUAGUCUUUUAAGAACUCUAUUUUACUGACCUUUUCAAAGAAGCAGCUUUAGAUAAAAUAGGUAGUUCUACUGCUUUCAUUUUGUAAUUCAUAAGUUUCUGCUUUUAUUUCAUUCUUCUCUCCGGCUUUCCUUGGACUUUGUUCUGUUACUCUCUUUCUAGAGUCUUCCAUACCUCAUUCACUCAUGUUCAGACUCACACACUUUUAACAAUGGAAGGAGGUGGAGAAUGGCAUGGGGUGGCUGUGGCUUGAGGUCCUGCUCCAGCCCCGCGGUUCUGUCAUCCCUGUGACCAUGGACAGGGCCCUCCACUACUGAGGUGUGGGACCUGUCUGAGAGAGGCUACUGAUGCCACCCAGGAGGAUGUACCAAUGCCAGUUGGUGGCUGGGGCCUGGCAGACCCAUGGAGAGGGAAUUCAGCAAAGAGAAGCAGUGAACCGCUGUCGCCUCCUUCAACUUUUGACUUCUAACGCUCAUCUCCAUGGCUAGACCCUGAGCUGGUCCCCAGGAACACAGGUAAACAUGACGACUGGCCCUGCCUUCAUGGUACACAUUUUUUUUUAACCUAUGGUAAUCAGGCUGUGGUUUACUGAAUGGUUACUUGAAGAACUGAUGAGAAGUAGUUCUAAACACUACCGCUUUUUUGAAUCUAUGGUUCCCCUUGUUCAUUGCUUAAAGUAUUAUUUUUAUAAAUGUUCCACGGCACUCAAGGUAUUCUCUGAUACGUUCCACGUUCUGGAUUAGUCCCUUUGUGUGUUUUUUGAUCUGGUUCAAAUCCACUGUGUCGUUUUGCAUGUGAGGAGUGUGGCUGCAUUCUCAGCACCUCUUCUGGUUCUCCCCACUUCCCCCAAGAUGGCUCAGCAGCUCUGUUCUCUGUGUUCUGCUGCAGCAGCACUGGACCAAGAUCCGCCUGUUUGACUGCUGCCUGCUUGGAAUUCACUUUGUCUGAUGUAGACAGGGCAGACCUUCACCCCACCGCACCCCCGGCCUAGCCAUGUCUCAUUUGCGUUUGACUGAAGUACCCGUGGAAAGUUAUUUUCAACUGAAAUUUGAAACUAUUUUUACGUCUUUGUGCCUAUGUAUGUGUGUUCAUUUUACACUGUUAAAUUGGUAGCUAUUUUGCUCUUUCUACUUCAGGUUAUGUUGUGGGCACAGUUACCCUCUGAAACCAUGCACCUGUUCUGAUUGAGGCCCCUGGGCAUUCCAGGUGGGAGACUAUCACUGCUGCCUUGUGGGCUACAGCAGCUGGGGUCCAGCAUUUUGUGAUGACAGAUGACUGUCACAGAUGCCUUUGGGCAAAUCCCUCAUGGCCUUGCAUUCCCCCCUGGGACCCCAAAGGGAAGCAGCAGUCGCCUAGUCCUCCUUGCUCACUGCCCUGUGCCCCCCAGAUGGCUCAGUGGCCAGUGACGGACUUACAUCUGCUCACACUAUGAGCGUGUGGUGGUUUCUUGACGCCACUUUAAUGUUCAGGCCUUUAGCCGGUGGCAUGUUUCCCUGUGUAGAUCACCCUCUGGGUUUCCCGAAGUUCAAACAGUGAGGGCCUCGUCACUAACAUGUCAAACUAACUCUUUGCUCAUCUUGCAGAGUGUGUUGCUACCCCCAUUUCUGGGGCCUUUUAAGGUCAGAGCUUUGUUGCUUCAUCAUCAGGUUGGGACUUAGAUGGCCAUGCACGUCUCUCUCUCCUGCUUCAAUAAGCCAUGCUGAGUCGGUGAGAGGAGAGACUGGUGGGGACCCUGUGCUUCCGACUUCAUCUUCCAGUCAAGGCAGUUCCCAGGAGAGAUUCCACAGCUGACGAUGGCUGAGAUGGAGGACAGCAGGCAAGGCAGCCUUACUACGCAGAGGUGACUUCUCAAGUGUCUCAGGGUCUCGGAGGUUUCUGUACCCAUACACAUCCUGUCACCGCUGGCCCUGUCCUAGAAACAUCAGGACUGUGACUCGUGGGUGGGUCUGCCCGUCGGAUGUCACGUGCUCCCGGAUGCUGUGCAGCGCAGCAUGACAGGAGACACAUCUCUGUGAAGCCAAGGGGACACGUGUCCCCUGGCUCUGCCUGUGAAACGGGUGUCCGGGGAGGAGUGAGCCUGGGGGGUCAGGGGGUCAUGGAGCCGCCGCAGGUGUUUCUUUUCCUGGAUGCGGCUCAUGGCCGCAUCCAGGUUUUGCUUUUCACCUUUAAGUCUGUGAGAAAAUGAGCAGGA
ensembl:lncRNA